CCCCACAGUGGCCUCAGGAGAGAACGUGACCCUGCUGUGUCAGUCAUGGUGGCAGUUUGACACUUUCCUUCUGACCAAAGAAGGGGCAGCCUAUCCCCCGCUGCAUCUGAGAUCAAAGUACCGAGCUCAUAAGUACCAGGCUGAAUUCCCCGUGAGUCCUGUGAUCUCAGCCCACACGGGGACCUACAGGUGCUACGGCUCACGCAGCUCCGACCCCUACCUGCUGUCUUUCCCCAGUGACCCCCUGGAACUCAUGGUCUCAGGACCCUCUGGAGGCUCCAGGCUCCCACCCACAGGGCCGCCCUCCACACCUGGUCUGGGAAGAUACCUGGAGGUUUUGAUUGGGGUCUCGGUGGCCUUCGUCCUGCUGCUCUUCCUCCUCCUCUUCCUCCUCCUCCGACGUCAGCGUCACAGCAAACACAGGACAUCUGGGCUGAGACUCUGUCCAUCUUCACCCAGACCAGAGAAAGACUGAUUUCCAGCGUCCUGCAGGGGCUGCGGAGACAGAGCCCAAGGACAGGGGCCUGCUGAGGAGGUAAUUCUGCCCAAAGACCACAGACUCCCACCCACUGCAGCCCAUACACUGCCCCUCACACUCCCAUGUCCUCCCCCAGGUCCGGCCCAGCUGCUGACGUCCAGGAAGAAAACCUCUAUGCUGCCGUGAAGGACACACAGUCUGAGGACCAGGUGGAGCUGGACAGUCAGAGCCCACACAAUGAAGACCCCCAGGCAGUGACGUAUGCCCCGGUGAAACACUCCAGACCUAGGAGAGAAAUGGCCUCUCCUCCCUCCCCACUGUCUGGGGAAUUCCUGGACACAAAGGACACACAGGCGGAAGAGGACAGGCAGAUGGACACUCAGGUGAGUCCUUUCCUCUCCAGACCCCCAGGCCUCCCCGACCCCCACCACGUUCCUUCCCUCUCACUCUCCCCCGCUGCAGGCUGCUGCAUCUGAAGCCCCCCAGGAUGUGACCUACGCCCAGCUGCACAGCUUGACCCUUAGACAGAAGGCAACUGAGCCUCCUCCAUCCCAGGAAGGGGAACCUCCAGCUGAGCCCAGC
rnacentral:sRNA from 1 species